UUUGUCUUCAAUCUGGUUCAAUGGACACCUAUAAAGUAUCUAGAUUACGAGUACCCGUGGUGGUCGCAUGUGUUAGGCUGGUUCACAGCGCUAUCCUCCAUGCUCUGCAUACCUGGGUACAUGGUCUAUGCUUGGAUGACUACACCAGGCGAUAAUAGGACGAAAUACAAAUUAUUAAUUCAGAUAGAGGAUGAUGUCGCGACUUUGCGAACAAAAAUGGGUCAACCACCAGUCGAGUUAACAACCCUAUAAUUUCGUUUUAAUAGGCAGAGCAGGCUUGCCUUGUUCAAUAAUACAAUCGUUUCCUAUCAUCCUAUAAGAUUGGUGGAUUACGAUAAAUUAAUAAGGUUUAUUCUGUAAAAUAAUGAAUUCCUACUUUUUCAAAUUGGGGAAGUGUCUUAAACAAAUUUUUAAAUGAGGAUUCUAAAGAUUAUUUUGUUUAUUGGCUUAUGAAAGUAAAACCACUUAGGAAAUAGAAAUGAGAUGGGAAAUAAUCCAAUGUUUCCAAUACUGAUCCUUAAUUUCGGAGAUUAUAAGUGUAACUUCACAGAAUGGGUUCUUGCUAAUUUCUCUUAAUGCAACCGCUUUUUAUAGGAUAAUAUUGUGAUAACGGUUAUUGUAAAACAACGCGCACGGCAACUUCGACUGCAAGGUUGCCGAGAUCUGGCGUCCUUCAUUCAAGAUACAAUUCGACGCGAAGCGAAGAGCCAGCAAUUAAAUGAACGCCGGAAACGAACACACCCGACACUGCCCUCGGUCCCCCUCUUCACAUCCACUCGACAAAAAGCUUCGCUGGCUUUGUACAUAAAUUAUUUAUUUGUCAUCAUAACAAUCGUAUAACUUCCGUAGGCUAGAAUGAAGAAGUUCGCGACAUUCCUGCUGAAUUGCGGGUUCAUCUUGGAAUCAAACGGAAUAUAGCGGAAUAUAUAUCCGGUUGCAUCGCCAUAGCAUUAAAAAACUAUUUAAAAUUUAUUUCGUUAAAAUAUUAAACGGAUUAAUUUAUAUUCUAAAAUAUGUUUGCAUAGGGUACUCUUUCUUUCUUCAAGAUAGUUUUAAAGAUCUAAGUUAAAUGCGAUUUCUUUAUAGAAGCAUUGCCAAAUUUUUUGUCAGAUUGUUUAUAAUAUCCGUAUUUAUAAUAUCCAUCAGAUAUCCUAAUGAGUGGCAGUUUAAUUAAUUGAUAUUAGUGCUAAGCAAUAUCGGUGCAAUCGGCUGUUGUUCUUACAUACAGCAAUAUCCGAUAACAUUCAUCAAACGUUUAUCACGAUAGCUCUAUGUUCGCAUUUAUUAUUACGCCCGUAUUUUUGCAUUAAUUUGACGUCGCAAUUGGCAAACAAAGUGAGACUACGUCUUUUGUUUUCGAAGAUUGUAAUGAUAUUAGUAAUAUUAUUAAAUUGUGCAAUAAGCGUAAAACGGAGAGUUUCUUCCAUCUAACAUUAUCGUCAUGGAUUGUUAUAAGUGACAAGUACAACGAUACAGGUACUCGUAGACAUAUUGAAAAUCAAAUUCUUUAUUUGUGAGUGAUAUGUAUUAAUACAUGUUUUCAACGUGUUUGAAAAUUUAUAGUACUCAAUAUAUUAGAAACUUUGUAAAUGCUUCAAAUUAUAGCUUGAACAUUACUUUUUAAAACAAACAGAUUAGGUAACACGACAAGGAUAAGUAAGUAAAGUAUCUAUAUAUAUUUUUUACAAAUACAAACUAGAUAUUUAUUUAUUUAAUAGUUACAUUUUAAAAUAAAAAUAUUGAAUCUUUUAUCAUAGAAACCAUAAAACUUCUAUGCGCGCUUUAGUAUAAUUUGGAUAAAUAUUAUGUAUGUAACAUUAUAGGAUAUUAUAUAAUAACGUUAUAGGAUUGCAUUUAGAUUCACAGACAAACUAUUGCAUAUAAAAAUGAGAACAAUUAAGAAUUUAAUAAAUAAAAAAAAUAUGAUAUGCUAUGAAUCUUAAUACAAUCCUAUGUCAUUCUAAUAUUCUAUACACGUACGCUUACGCCUAAAACAAGGUACGCUAGAUAUGUGAUGAUUCCUACGGUGUAACAUUCAAUAUAUUUAUUUUAAAGUAUAAUGUUGAAACUUUAAUUUGAUUUUUUCAAAGUCUCUAAAGAAUUUGUUUCUUAUUGUUUUCGACAAAUAUCAAACAUGUACCUAUUUCACUUUAAGUACAAAAAGAGAUGUGUACUAGUUUAUAAAUAUAAAACAAAACUCUAGUAUAUCGGAUUUACCAACUACAAAUUUUAAAAGAUAAUAAAAAAACGCUUUUUUUUUUGAAGUUUUAAUCUCGUUUUUCUCAAAAACUUAAACGUAAUAGAACAUUUGGGCUGGUAGAUUUGGAUUCAGCGCGUCAAAGACCAUAAAAAAUUAUUUUCUUUUUCUAGACGGCAAAUUUUUGUAUUUUUGUGUAAGGUAUCGGGCGUCUCAGACCGUCAUCCGUCAUGUUUAUGUUUAUCGAAUGGGGACGGACGGUACGAUUCCGGGCCCGGAUUGCCCCGUGCGUAUAUUUAUGCUGCCAUAAAUAUUAUAGACGUGUUUAAUAUCACAUCGCUCGUAUUUAAUAAACGUAAGUGUUAUCUAAUUUAUUUCAUGUACCUGUCAUUAGAUCUGCAGCGUCGGCAGAGCAAUAGUAUAAAUAAUAGCGAAAUAGUCGACAAAGUGUUUACAAACGUCGCAAUACUGCAAUGAGAUUACAAAAAUGACGAUCGAAUGAAAUAAAAUUUAUAAUUUCGAUGUUUGUGCUGCCAUAUUACAUCAUAUUUUGAUCAUAUCUUGAUUUAUAUGAAGUGUGAAGCCUGUUAUAAGUAGAUACUAAUCGUAUUAACCGCGUUCAUGAAAUUACAAAAUUACAUCUUUUAUUCCACUCUAUCGUCUGUUAAAAACUCAUACAACGUGAAUUUCAUGCACGAGUUAUAUGGAGUAUCAAAAAUUUCCUGGACGUUAUAAAAAAUUAGACUUACCUUAUAACAAUAGACCCCUAUCCUCUUUGAAGUAGUUCCUUGUGACUUGAUACAGCAUACCCAACCAUGCUUCUUUAAAUGCUAUCUGAAAAUCUUUUUUCUAUAAAACACUAUCUGUGAUUAGGCCUUAAUCUUCUGUACCGUCUCGAAACGUCGUUUUUUUUAGUUAAAUUUUAGUUUUAUUUUUGCAAACAAAAGGAAAUCACAAAGUACUAAAUCUGAUGAAUACGGAUGAAACGGGAAACGAUAGAAAUGUUAUUGUCUUUUAAAAACUAUUGUGUUUAUUGUGUUAAAAACUUGUAUUUUUAAGGUGACGUACCUGUCAGAAACUCUAACGACGAAUUUGGUAACAACGUAAUGCAUAUUCAAAUCAUUAAUGAAGAUCGCCUAACAGACUCCGUAGGAAAUUCUAAUGAUGUCGUUGACACGUUCUCACAAACAAUUUUUGCAAUUUUUCUAAUAUUUUCAGAAGUUGUACGCAAUCGACUUAUGUAUCCGUCGUCUGAUAUUCAGUCUUUUUUUAAACAUGAAUCCACUGAAGCACUGUAUAGAACUUUAUUAUUCAAAAGUUUAAUAAAGCAGUUUUGAAAGUAUCGGCGGCCGAUUUUCCUAGUUUUAUCGAAGGUCGACGUUUCGAGACAGUACAGAAGAUUGAAGCUGAAUCGCAGACUAUCUUUGAAGAACAUAUGUUACAGAAAAAAGAUUUCUAGUGUUUAAAGCAUGGCUGAAGCGCUAUAUAUCAAAUCACAAAAGGAUGCUUCGAAGGGAAUGGAAGUUAGCUGUAAACAGAAUAAGUCUAAAAUUUUUUUAUAAAUUAAGUUUGGGAAAUUUUUGAUACUAUCUUAUACGUAUAUAUAAAAAAAUCGUGGGAUAACUUUACGAAGUAUGUAUACGCUCAACAUUCUUCAUUGUAGUGUAAGUUCGACGCUUAGCGCGCGAUAAUUAGAUUUGUGUAAUAGGCAUUAAUAUGAUGUUGGAAUUAUUUAUUGUUAGCGAGCCAACGAUUCCGAUUCACUGUAUUUUAUUUUGUUUUACAGAUAGUACAAAUAAUAAAUUUCAAAUAUAUAUUAAUAA